rnacentral:scRNA from 1 species
GUGCUGGGACUCUUCGCGCAGGGCGCCCAUAU